AGUGAAGAGGGAAGAGCUCAAAGUGUGAAUCUGGCAUGGCCCCGCCGUGACCCGAGUUGUGCACUAGAGACGUCGCCGUCCGCGCUUGAGACCCGAAGCUUUUAAGUCGUCUGGAAAGGCGCUUCACAGAGGGUGAUAGUCCCGUAUGUGGCUCUCGGUUGCACUCGCGCCUGUGAGGCACGCUCGUUGAGUCGCGUAGUUUCGUAUUGCUGCGCAAAUUGGGUGGUAGAUGCCAUCUAAAGCUAAAUAUACUGCCAUGUCCGAUAGCUCACAAGUACCGCGAGGGAAAGGUGAAAAGCACUUUGGAAAGAGAGUGAAACAGUUGUGAAAGCGCUAUCAGGGAAAGGUUGGCUCGCGCUGUCGUCCGUCCGUCCAUGCUUCACUGCUGGUUCGGCGAUGCGUCAGAACCCAUUGGGACCGGGAGACGUGGCGGCGGAGGAAUCGGCCCCUCGGGGUGUUGCAACUCUGCCUGCCGAGUGCUCGGGACCGAUGCGGGCUUGGGCAUGCGGCUCGCCGUUGUGCCCGCUCUGGCAACGCGUGCAGUCAACCACCCGUCUUGAAACACGGACCAAGGAGUGCAUCUCGCCUGCGAGUCGAAGGGUCUGUAAACCUGGAGGCGUAGCGAAAGCGUAGACGACGAACCCGCGAGGGGGCUGUCGCGCCCGUGCUCGCACGAGGUCGAGCAGGUGGGAUGCGACCCGAAAGAUGGUGAACUAUGCCCGGGUAGGAUGAAGCCGGUGGAAACGCCGGUGGAGGUCCGUAGCGGUUCUGACGUGCAAAUCGAUCGUGUAACCCGGGUAUAGGGGCGAAAGACCUAUCGAACCGUCUAAUGGCUGGUUCCCCCCGAAGUUUCCCUCAGGAUAGC
rnacentral:rRNA from 1 species